CCGAUUUUUCGCCUUCCUUUCCAACUUUCCUAUACAUGCAUAUCGAUGGAAAACAAGAGCAAAAGCAUCAGAGAAAUCCGGCAAAUAACGGUGGUCUCGAGAGAUCGAGCGUGCCGAUAGGUGCAGAUUUGUAGGGGUUCUGGUCAACCGAUAACCAAGCUGUUUCCUCUCCCUCCCCCAUUUUUUCUCUCCCUCGAUAUCCGGCUUAAUCGUUCCACCCCCUCAACUUCCGAAUCCACGAAGAAGAUCUUUCUCUCUCGAAUAGGGGGGGGAGGGCGCCGAUCUAGUGGCAGUAGAUGGUAGUGGUGGGCAAAGUUUCGAGUUCCUGCGGAAUGCGAGUUCCUCGGCUGGACCAGAACGAUGAAGACGUCAGCUGGUGGAGAACGCGUGGGAGUGCCAGCUGGGUAUACACCGCCGCCUGGCCAGCCGGUGGGUGUUCCCUCUCUCUCUUUCUUCCCCCCUUUUCUCUCUCUAAGUAUUAUCGUCCCCUCGUUUCUUUUUUUCGCCUCGUUUCAAUUUAGUCCCGUAAGAUACUCUCCAGGUACGUCUACUUUACGACGGCAGCGCGCGCAUACCGGCAGACCACCGCGCGAAAAGAAGUCGAAAAGAAGGUUUCUAAGGGAGGACGAGGAUAAGGGUGAGACGAGUCUGAUCAGAACGUCGUAAGGAACAAUCGAACUGGCUAUUUACAAUACUCAUUCGUGCAAAAAAGAAAAAAAAGAGAUGCAGAUUCCAGAACCGCUUUAUCCACGGAACGGGAAACGUACAACGAACAAAAAAAAAUAAUCGCAAGAGGAAGGAAAAGAGAGAGACAGGUAGCAGCGGAUGGGAUCGCGGAGGAAGAGAGGAGAGGAGGCGCGAGAAUCUGUCAGGGCAGGCACACUCGGGCACAGAUUUACAAGGCUGCCGCUGUUUUACGACCCCGCAAAGUGCCGCCCGCCGCCCCCUCCCCAUUGCCCCGCGCCCACACCAACGAUCGGUCGUCAAGGACAGGCCGCGACUCGACUCGACUCGACUCGAAUCGAUCCGCCGUCGUUUUCGAAAAACUCGACUCGUCUCCGUUCCUCGAGAAACUCACCUCGUCCGUUCGCCAAUAUCAAGGUCGCGGCGCGGUUCACGGAGGGGGAGGCGCGCCCACGCGCGCUAGUAAGCACCCGGUAGCCCCCGCGUGGACGGUCAAUCUUCCAGUGGGACGCGUGCGUUCCGUGGACACUGAGAGAAGAGAGAGUUUUUGAAUGAGAGGGAUAAGAGGAUGUAGAGGGGGUUAUUCCUCCCGUUAUCGGGGGAAGAGAGUACAGGGAGGCCUGUGUUGGGUUACGCGCAGGUGUCUCGGCCGUGUUUUACUGCGCCAUAAUUGAGCCGAGGCGGCGGAAGUUAGCACACGAAGAUAGCGCCGUGUCGCGCCGCUUUGGAUAUCGUUCAACAGGCUCCCCCCUCUCCGCCUUCUCUCCGUCAAAAUUCUGUUAGAGCCGGCGAGAUUGGCGGCGAACUCAUCUCGUCCGAUGAAUCGAGCAGCGCUCGUCGAUACUUGUUAUUUUCCCUCGGUCCCAGAUGAGAAGGAAACGAUUGAAAGCGUAGCGCGAGAUAGACGUGCGAAACGUUUCGACUCGUGCGCGGUACUGAACGGACGGUUUUACGUCUCGGCCGUGAAUGUUUGUAUACACGCGCCUAAAGCGAAAUCUACUUUCGUUUAUUUUGAAUGGAAGGUCUCCUUUUGUGAAAUGUAAACUAUGUUAUGAUAAUUUCAAGUGUUCUUCGCUUUCGAUCGUGUAUUGUAGUAUAUAAUUGUAUGAUAUUAUAUAUUAUUGACACGUUGAUAUAAAAAAUGUUAAAAUUAGAAUGGAUACGUGGUACGUUAAUCGCGAAACACUAUUCAAAUUUGCGUUUAAUUUAAUUGGAAAAAAUAAAGAAAUUUUAAACG